rnacentral:rRNA from 1 species
AGUGAACGCUGGCGGCGUGCUUAACACAUGCAAGUCGAACGAGAACGGAUUAUAGCUUGCUAUAAUUGUCAGCUAAGUGGCGCACGGGUGAGUAAUAUAUAGGUAACGUGCCCCAAAGAAGAGGAUAACAGUUGGAAACGAUUGCUAAGACUCUAUAUGCCUUUGUGACAUAAGUCAGCAAGGGAAAUAUUUAUAGCUUUGGGAUCGGCCUGUACAGUAUCAGUUAGUUGGUGAGGUAAUGGCUCACCAAGACAAUGACGCUUAACUGGUUUGAGAGGAUGAUCAGUCACACUGGAACUGAGACACGGUCCAGACUCCUACGGGAGGCAGCAGUGGGGAAUAUUGCACAAUGGACGAAAGUCUGAUGCAGCAACGCCGCGUGGAGGAUGACACAUUUCGGUGCGUAAACUCCUUUUAUAUAGGAAGAUAAUGACGGUACUAUAUGAAUAAGCACCGGCUAACUCCGUGCCAG